rnacentral:rRNA from 1 species
UUGGCCCUACGGGGCGCAGCAGUGAGGAAUAUUGGUCAAUGGUCGGGAGACUGAACCAGCCAAGCCGCGUGAGGGAUGAAGGCACAGAGUAUCGUAAACCUCUUUUGUCAGGGAACAAAGGCGGGGACGCGUCCCCGGAUGAGUGUACCUGAAGAAAAAGCAUCGGCUAACUCCGUGCCAGCAGCCGCGGGAAUACGGAGGAUGCGAGCGUUAUCCGGAUUUAUUGGGUUUAAAGGGUGCGCAGGCGGUCUGUUAAGUCAGCGGUCAAAGCCCGGGGCGCAACCCCGGCCCGCCGUUGAAACUGG